GAAGAGAGAGCUGGCCUGGACCUCCAGGGCAGAGCCACUUCAUACCUGCCCACACCUGGUCCUCCUUUGCUGGCAACAGAGUUCAGAGCUAGCACCAGCCACAGCAAGGACAAAGCCCAGCCCAGGCAGCUGCUGGAGCUGCAGGGAGUCCCAGGAAUAAAAUGCCCUGAGAAGUCCCUGAGCACUUGCCUCCUCCACCUCCCCUGAGCUGAAAUCCCAGCACCCCACUGAUGGUUAUGCAGUCCCCCUGCAACUUCUCCGGCGCCACCUACCGGUGCAGCAUGGGUGGCUUGCAAGCUGCAGUGAUCACCAUCCCGGCCCUGCUCUCCUCAUCCACUCUGCUGGUCAUCAGCUGUAUAAAUGGAAAACGUGCCGCCGGUGGUCCCAGGUCACCUGCCCCAGCCCACCAUCCCCAUGAGGGGCCCAGGUGGGAAGGAGACCAAAGGAGACCCCAAGAACACCCCCACACCUGGCUGACCAGGCCCCUUGCACUGCAGAGGAGGCAGACACAGCUGGAAGGAACAGGAUUUAUGUUGCAUACUUGAACUACAGCGAG
rnacentral:lncRNA from 1 species